UAGAAAAGUCAUGAUCUUAAACCAUUAAAGUUUUAAAAUCAGUAUCAGUAAUCAAGUAUUUCUAUUAUGAAGUUAUCACUUAUAAAAGCAUAUAUGCUGGGUACAGCAUGAAAAUGUCAUGCCAGCAUGCACUGCUCCAUAAACUGAAUAAUUUUUGUUUGUCAUCACUUAUGAGCCUGUAGUUUAUAAUAAAGUAAAUAAAUAAAAAAAAUGUGGAAAACACAAUCAGCUAACUAAGCCAAUUCAUGAGAGCUAGAUGUCAUAUAAUAUUAAUAUUAUUUGAAUAAUAAUUGCUUCUUUUGCCAACACAACAUGUUUUACAAACACAUUAUUAUAGUGGCUAAAUAAAAAACUAUCACUAAACCUCAAGACAUAAGAGCUCAACUAAAAGAAACACUUAACAACAUAAUGGUGAAUUCAAACUUAACUCAGAAAAACAUAAACAAAACUAAACCACUGUUAAUUCUCAAUACAAACAUUUGUACAUGUAUAAAAAAUAAAGUCAUUUUUAAAGUAAUUUAAAGUGAUUCAACUUCUCACCUAUCUUUCCAAAUAUUGUGUGGGUGCAGUCCGCUGAAUGUCAGAGUAAAACAAUUUGUAUGGCCCUAUUUUUGAGAUCAGCACAUAUAACCCUUUUCUUCCCCAGGCUUCUUUGACACCUGUAAAAUGUCAAAGACAAGCUAAACAAUACAAAGUCCUGUCAAGACAGAAUAUGAAACACUGAAGAAAAAUCACAGUUGAGGUUACAUGUCUAUCUUAAAUUAUGCUAUAAAUAUGGUAUAAAUUAUGCACUGUCAAAUAAAACAUGAAUUCUUAAAACUGUCUAAAUUGUUGUUUAAGUGCAUACGUGAUUCUAUAUAUGAAGAGCUGGACCCUGAUGAAGUCUGAACUCCUGAAAACGCUGUGGCAUGGACUGGUGGUGGAGAUGCCGGUGAGGAGCAGGAUGGAGGCAGUUCUGGCUCUGGCGGUGGAGAUGCUGGCGAUGGCGGUGGAGAUGCGGGUGAGGAGGGGGAUGCAAAGCCCACAGGAACUGAAACUGAUGGUGAUGAAGAGUUUAGUUUAUGUGGGAUGCGGGGUAAUUCCUCAACAUGUAACCUCAAAUGGUUAACAUUUAUUUUGGGGAAUGUUACACCCCUUUCAUCUACCAGGUCUGCACUUUAGCCUUCCAAUACAGUGAUUGUAUAGGGACCAAGUAAGUUUGCCUUCAGUUUGCCACCCUUAUGUUGUUGGCUCCUUUUAAUUUCCUUAUAAAAGUUGUCCCCCCCUCUGAAAUUCUUUCUUUGUGCUUUCUUUUGUUUUGUUUAUUGCCUUAUCUUUUCCUGUGAAGCUCUGUUAUUUAUAUGAGCCUCAGUCAAAACCUCACUGAUGGCAAUAGCCGAUUCAGUUAAUUCCUCAAUUGACAAUGUGCCCUCCACACUCUUUUCAAUCUGAAAAAAAGUGCAGGACAAUCCUGUUAAAACAAUUGCUACCUAUUUAUCAUUAAUGAUAACUAUUGAAAUAAUGCAAAAAUCUGCAGUUACCCGAUAGUGCUCAGGUAUUUCGGAAGGGUAACGGGCCUCUCUUCCAAACAUUAAAAAGUUUGGCGUGUACAUUGUUGUCAUCUGCCGCUUUGUGCGAAGCCCAAACAUAACAGCUUCCAGGUGCUUGUCCCAGUCAUUGGGCUUGUCUUUGAGAAGCUUGCAAAGGGAUCUUUCAAUAUAAUAACAUUAUUUUCAGUUUCAAAGCAAUUAAGAAAGAGCCUCUACAUUCAUGCAUGUUUCGUGUUUUUUUUUUGGUCCAGUGUGAGCUCCGAGGCUGCUUGCAUGGAACUCCUCAAAAAUUGUGUUUGCCUGUUCUGCCCCACACACAACUUUUGCUUUAAUUUGUUGUUUUGUGCCUUUGUGGCGAAGGUAAUUCAAUUCACCAUCUAUGAAAAGAAAAAAAUAGACAAUAUUUAAUAAAAAAAUAAAAAAGACAAAUACA
ensembl:lncRNA